GUACUGCUGAAGAGUCCCAAAUUGUGACGAAAUAGCCAUCCAGUAC
rnacentral:hammerhead_ribozyme from 1 species